rnacentral:tRNA from 1 species
GCGCCCGUAGCUCAGUUGGAUAGAGCGCUUGCCUCCGGAGCAAGAGGUCGCGCGUUCAAGUCGCGCCGGGCGUACCA